rnacentral:misc_RNA from 1 species
GAUUGAAGAACGUAGCGAAAUGCGAUAAGUAAUGUGAAUUGCAGAAUUCAGUGAAUCAUCGAAUCUUUGAACGCACAUUGCGCCCGUCAGUAUUCUGGCGGGCAUGCCUGUUCGAGCGUCAUUUCAACCAUCAAGCCCCCGGGCUUGUGUUGGGGACCUGCGGCUGCCGCAGGCCCUGAAAAGCAGUGGCGGGCUCGCUGUCACACCGAGCGUAGUAGAUUUUAUCUCGCUCUGGGCGUGCUGCGGGUUCCGGCCGUUAAACCACCCUUUUAACCCAAGGUUGACCUCGGAUCAGGUAGGAAGACCCGCUGAACUUAAGCAUAUCAAUAAGCGGAGGA